CCUUAAAUUCAGGGUCCAGCUCACAUGGGAAAUACUUUCUGAGAGUCCUGGACCUCCUGUGCAAGAACAUGAAACAUCUGUGGUUCUUCCUUCUCCUGGUGGCAGCUCCCAGAUGGGUCCUGUCCCAGCUGCAGCUGCAGGAGUCGGGCCCAGGACUGGUGAAGCCUUCACAGACCCUGUCCCUCACCUGCACUGUCUCUGGUGGCUCCAUCAGCAGUGGUAGUUACUACUGGAGCUGGAUCCGGCAGCCCGCCGGGAAGGGACUGGAGUGGAUUGGGUAUAUCUAUUAUAGUGGGAGCACCUACUACAACCCAUCCCUCAAGAGUCGAGUCACCAUAUCAGUAGACACGUCCAAGAACCAGUUCUCCCUGAAGCUGAGCUCUGUGACCGCCGCAGACACGGCCGUGUAUUACUGUGCGAGAGACACAGUGAGGGGAGGUGCAGGCAGAGAAGAGGCCAUGUGGAGACAUAGUGCACUAGAAGGUGGCCCAGUGCAAGCCAGGAAGAAGCCGCGCCAAGAACCAGCCCUGCCAGCACACUAAUCUUCAACAUUCAGA